rnacentral:rRNA from 1 species
CCUACGGGAGGCAGCAGUGGGGGAUAUUGCACAAUGGGGGGAACCCUGAUGCAGCGACGCCGCGUGGGUGAAGGAGCGUUUCGGCGCGUAAAGCCCUAUCGGCAGGGAAGAAGGAGGACGGUACCUGACUCAGAAGCCCCGGCUAACUACGUGCCAGCAGCCGCGGUAAUACGUAGGGGGCAAGCGUUAUCCGGAUUUACUGGGUGUAAAGGGGGCGCAGACGGCAGCGCAAGCCAGGAGUGAAAGCCCGGGGCCCAACCCCGGGACUGCUCUUGGAACUGCGCGGCUUGAGUGCAGGAGGGGCAGGCGGAAUUCCUGGUGUAGCGGUGAAAUGCGUAGAUAUCAGGAGGAACACCGGUGGCGAAGGCGGCCUGCUGGACUGCGACUGACGUUGAGGCCCGAAAGCGUGGGGAGCAAACAGGAUUAGAUACCCCAGUAGUC